AUUGAACGCUGGCGGCAUGCUUUACACAUGCAAGUCGAACGGCAGCGCGGGCUUCGGCCUGGCGGCGAGUGGCGAACGGGUGAGUAAUACAUCGGAACGUGCCCAGUAGUGGGGGAUAGCUCGGCGAAAGCCGGAUUAAUACCGCAUACGACCUGAGGGUGAAAGCGGGGGAUCUUCGGACCUCGCGCUAUUGGAGCGGCCGAUGGCAGAUUAGCUAGUUGGUGGGGUAAAGGCCUACCAAGGCGACGCUCGGUAGCUGGUCUGAGAGGACGACCAGCCACACUGGGACUGAGACACGGCCCAGACUCCUACGGGAGGCAGCAGUGGGGAAUUUUGGACAAUGGGCGAAAGCCUGAUCCAGCAAUGCCGCGUGUGUGAUGAAGGCCUUCGGGUUGUAAAGCACUUUUGGCGGGAACGAAAAGGACUGUGCCAAUACCACGGUUCGAUGACGGUACCCGCAGAAUAAGCACCGGCUAACUACGUG
rnacentral:rRNA from 1 species